rnacentral:rRNA from 1 species
AGGACGAACGCUGGCGGCGUGCUUAACACAUGCAAGUCACGGGGGGUCGCAAGACCAACCGGCGAACGGGUGCGUAACACGUGAGCAACCUGCCUUAGUGUGGGGGAUAGCCGGCCCAACGGCCGGGUAAUACCGCAUACGAUCGUUGAGAGGAGUCUCUUGACGAGGAAACCUCCGGGGCACUAAGAGGGGCUCGCGGCCUAUCAGCUAGUUGGCGAGGUAACGGCUCACCAAGGCGACGACGGGUAGC